AAUAUCUAAACUAAAUAUUUUAAAUAUUAUUAUAAGAUAUGCUAUUCAAAAAUAUUUGCCAUGAAUAAACAUAAGUAUAUAUUUCAUAUUAAUUUAUGUAAAUCAAAUACUCUCGAAUAUUUAUAUACAUAUAUAAUCAAAAAAUCUAAUUCAAAACAGAUCACAUAUACUCAACAGCUUUUAACUAUGAUUAUAUUAAUACCCUAU
rnacentral:lncRNA from 1 species